GGCGCUGUGGUGGAAUGGUAGACACGCACGACUCAAAAUCGUGUAUCGCAAGAUGUAUCGGUUCAAGUCCGAUCAGCGCUACCA
rnacentral:tRNA from 1 species